ensembl:lncRNA novel transcript
AUUCUCAUGUAACAAUCUAAGGAGCCUGGAUAUCUAGAAGCUCAGCUAUGCUGGGACUGAGGCUCCUUCCUUCUCAAUAUCUGAAAUUCUGAAGGCAAUACUCUUGUCCUAAAGGAAAUGUGUAAUGUGAAGUUAACCUCAAUGUGAUGUGCCAAGGGCAUGUGAAAUCACAAGGAGAAAGUGCAGUAUUUACUGAGUGAGCAGCUAUUCCAGUCAAUGCCAUUCACAGCAUCCAAAGACAACAGAGUUGCUGGAUCACUGCCAGGCCCCAGGCAUUGAAGCCUUGCUUGCUGCAAUUCUCUUUGGCUAAGUUAGGCACAUACUAAAAUGGAUACAAGGAUCCCAUAGCAAUUGCCUUGUAAGACACUUAAAGGCAACUGAUCACAAGGUGGACAAGGGAAAGCUUUCAAGAACCCUGAAAUUGAAUUUGGAGUCACUAAUACAGCUAGGGAAUGAUAGCGUGGAAUGUCUCAAGGUCGCUUGCAACAGAGAAAGGGGGCCUUAUUUCAAAGAAAUUGCCCUGUCUGCCAGGAUAAAAAUGAGACACACACAGCAAAGAGAAAAGAGCAGCUGCUACAGAGCAUUACCAAGGGAGAGACUGCAAAACAAAUCAUCAGUGGGAAGGAGAAUGAGGAACACCACGAAUUUCUUCCAUCACUGGACAAGAAGCGCUCUCUCCUCUAAUUCAUAGGAUAAAAAGAAAGCUGGCUCCAAAUGGCCAUUUAAGCCCAGUAGGGCCCUUUGCAAGAAUGCGAAAGAGAGAAGAUAACAUGAUUUUCUCCACUGUGUCAAGAUGCAAUGGCUACAUAUACCUCCUGCAGCUGAAUUAUAAAGGCUGGAGCGUGCUUGCGACCAUUUGGACCACAUGGUUCCCGCUGUCAAAAGGUACCCCCCAGAGACAUCAUUUUCCACUGCCUAUGGAUCAGACGUCCAACAGAUUCCAGGAGGCACAAUGUUAAUAGACUGAAAUUGUCUUUGCUUCUGGAGGCAAAAGUGAAGAUAGGCAGGGCAAAGAUUUUCUCUUGUGCUUUCUUCUAGAACUUUUAUAGUUUCAGGUUUCACAUUGUGUAUGAUCCCCUUUGAGUUAAUUUUUUUAUGUGAUGCAAGAUAUGGAUCAAGAUUUGGAUUUGAAUAUGGAUAACCAAUUGUUCCAGCACCAUUUGCUGAAAAGACUAUCUUUUCUUCACUAAAUUGCUUUUUUAACUUUGAAAAGAAUCAAUUAACCC